UACGUAGGGGGCAAGCGUUGUCCGGAAUCAUUGGGCGUAAAGCGCGUGUAGGCGGCUCGGUAAGUCUGCUGUGAAAACUCGAGGCUCAACCUCGAGACGUCGGCGGAAACCAUCUGGCUAGAGUCCGGAAGAGGAGAGUGGAAUUCCUGGUGUAGCGGUGAAAUGCGCAGAUAUCAGGAAGAACACCCGUGGCGAAGGCGGCUCUCUGGGACGGUACUGACGCUGAGACGCGAAAGCGUGGGGAGCGAACAGG
rnacentral:rRNA from 1 species